GUCUCCUAUCUAGCUCAGUUGGUUAGAGUGUGGGGCUAAUAAUGCCAAGGUUGCAGGUUCGAUCCCCGUAAGGGACA